CCCUUAGAUGUUCUGGGCCGCACGCGUGCUACACUGAGUGGAUCAGCGGGUCAGGUUGCGCGAAAGCGUUUCCUAAUCUUUAAAUCCGCUCGUGAUGGGGAUUGACGGUUGCAAUUUUCUGUCAUGAACGAGGAAUACCUUGUAAGCGCGGGUCAUCAUCCCGCGCUGAAUACGUCCCUGCCCUUUGUACACACCGCCCGUCGCUACGACCGACUGUUUCUGUCAAUGAAGCUGUAGGAUUCGGCCCUGGCCGGGGCGCAAGCCCUGGCUACGUGGUUGGAGAUCAUAGUUUAGUUGAUACGAAAUACAGGACGUAAAAGUCGUAACA
rnacentral:rRNA from 1 species